rnacentral:misc_RNA from 1 species
AAGUCGUAACAAGGUUUCCGUAGGUGAACCUGCGGAAGGAUCAUUACCGAGUUCAUGCCCUUCGGGGUAGAUCUCCCACCCUUUGUAUACCUUACCUCUGUUGCUUUGGCGGGCCGCCUAGCUACUGGCUUCGGCUGGUAAGUGCCCGCCAGAGGACCCAAAACCCUGAAUAUUAGUGUCGUCUGAGUAAAAAGUUUAAUAUUUAAAACUUUCAACAACGGAUCUCUUGGCUCUG